GAUCCACUGACCCUUGAAAUAACUUCUGUCUGCAAAUUCUAUACCUGCUUGUUUGUUUGUUUGUUUGGGAGCAGCAUCAUUCUCGUUGCCAUUGUUUUCACUGGAUUUGCAAGGAAUCUUCAAGUGACAUUUGCUAAGCAAUAAGAACGAAGGUCUGUAACAGACAAAAGCUGCAAUGUCCACAAUCAUGAAACAGAGGUAUUUAAAGUUUGGUGAUAUCAAAGCUUCUACCAGAGACUUUUCUCUGCACAUUCUGUAAACAGAGAAUAAGCAAGAUGGAGUGAAAAGGAGAGUGCUGGGAAACCCAACUAGAGCUCUGGUACUACCACAUUUAAAAUAAAAUAAAAUAAAAUAAAAUAAAAUAAAAUAAAAUAAAAUAAAAUAAAAUAAAAUAAAAUAAAAUAAAGUAAAAUAAAAUAAUUU